UAAUCCUGGAUGAAAGAAAAAUAUGGAUCUGCAAAGAUCAUCAAUAUAUAUUUUUACGAGGUAGUUUGGAAAGAUGAAGAUAAAUGAACAUACUUUAUAUAAUUAUUACUAUAUGUCUUUGGAAUGAUUGGGCUAUAUUUUGUAAGAAAAGUUGAUGAAUGUUGAAUUUUUAAUAAUCAAAGUGAAGGAAAAACUCAUCAAAUGAUUUCAUAUUAAUGACAUUUCGAUAUGAAAACUAAAAUUGUGAAAGAAAUUGACCAAAAGACAAUCAUGACCAAAUAUUUUAAUAUCCAUCUUAUAACCUUGGAUUAUAAAACAAUAUGGAUUUACAAAGGGUAUUUAAAAUAAAUCAUUAAUUAUAUUGAUUUUUGAGACUAUUUGGCAAGGCAAUGAUAAAUCAAAUGUCCUCUAUAUUGUUGUAGCUAUGCCAGAAUGUUAUUUUCACUAUGAUUAUGCUAUAUUUCCUGAUAUAAGUUGAUGAGGUAUCUUUGGA